CUCCAAUGUCGGUAAAAAGGCGAGUAGCGGCGCGUCUUCUUACCGUGCGUCCUGGCUCGGUGCGGUGCGUCCUGGCUGAGCUGCGCCUUCGCCAGCGAUCCCGGGAAUAACCAAGAAAAACUCUCAACUACGAGAAGAAACGAGUCAAGGGGGAAGAACAGGACCAGAAGAACACUGAGCAAAAGUCUAGAAAGGACAAAGGAAGCGUCACAUAUAGAUGAAUGGAUUCACACAGUAUUGUGCCCACGUUUGAAAAAAACCAAAACAGCAAAAGUGACCUCUUGGAUGCCCCUAUGGUAGAUAAAAGUGCCCUCUGGGUGCCCUUCAAGUGGAGAAAACAUGAUGAUGUGUCCUCUAUUGGGUGCCAAUCCUUAUCCUGACCCUAACCCUCUUCAUCCAGAAGACAACUGUAAGCCUCAUUAACACUAUGUGAGACCUGGUUUCUAUCUGAAUGUAAACUAUUUCACAGUUUUCACAGCUGCCCAUCAGGCUGCACUGUAGUGGUUUGACCACAAGAUGGAGCUCUGUUCUCAGUAAAGACAUUACUGUUCUGACCAAAGGAAAAAAAACCCAACAAUUUCCUCACUCCUUUGUAAUCUGUUAGCAAGCCUUAACUCCAGAACAUGCUUCAUCAGCAGAGACAUACAAUAAUGGAGUUACACUGUGAAUCUGAGGUGCUAGCUGGGAGUUAGGUCCGUUAUUGUGAUUAUCAUUGUUGUGUGCUCACUUAUCUUCAGUACUAAUUGAACUGAAUUUUGCGUUGCAUGUAGCCCUCAGUUGUACCCUAAUCUGACAUGUCAGAAGAGGAACCAUGAUAAAAAACUGUUAACAAUAAGGCCUUUUCAUUUAUUUUUGAUUGAAUUUAUUUGAACCUUUUUGAAUAUCAAAUAAUUAAUUUAAAAAUAUGACUAAUUUAAUCUUUUUGGAAUGUGAAUGUAAUCGUUAUUUUGUCCCAUGGCAAACAAAUGUACUUAGGAUUUUUUUAUUUUCACCAAAAACAAGAACCUUGGGAGGACGUCAACAUGCAGCAACAAGACCCUGUAUCAUUUUAUGUGACUUCUUUUUUAUUUCAGAUCAUUCAGCUCUAAUGAAUUAAGUAUAGGAAAUUCUAAUAAAUAUGUUCUUUUA